rnacentral:lncRNA from 1 species
CAGAGGAGAUGCUUAAUCCCUGUGGGCUCACCAGGGAGUAUGUCUCCCAGGGAUCAGAUCUGUGCCCAGGGGAAGUGAGUGGACAGACAGCUUCAGGUGAGGUCAAGUAACAGCCAAGAACUUACAGAAGCAAGAAAUAAAUCAACAUACUUCCAACCCCGUGAGGUGACACAGGAGAGUGAAAUGGAUCAGUUCUCAGAGCACUUAAACUUUGGUUCCAGCAGUGUCAUCUUGGACCAUCUCUCAUGACUACCCAAGCCUGCAGGAUUCCUGGAAGAUCAUUAAGAAUUUCCUCACGAUGCUGGAUAGCCUUCAGUGCAGUGGAGAACAGCAGGUCUGACCCAAACAUUGUGUUCUUGUUUGGUAUUCUCAGCAGGGAAGAAGAAAGUGGUGAAAAGAGAUGUCCUUGGACCAAGCUUAGAGAGCUCCUCCUGCUAAACACAACUGAGAGAAAAACUGCUGGAGAAGCACGAGGAAACCAAAACUGA